AGAACUAUUGAAGCGAAGAAUGGAAUGAAGGGCAACGCCUUAAACGCUAACGCUUUCUUUGGGACUGCGACAUGCGAGACGGGAGCAACGUCCAAAUUGUAUGAAUCUCACAGAAGUUGGCAGAGCGCGCUCGGAAAGGAGAGCCACGAAAGCGUUGCAGCGGUGGGAUGUGUAACCUAUAUGCCGGAAGUUC
rnacentral:ncRNA from 1 species